rnacentral:siRNA from 1 species
UGCCACCUUCUGAUCCACCUGAUU